CUAAAAAUGAUGGCGAAUCGAAAAUGUGCUCAAUCGUUUUCGGAGUUGUGACGCUCCUCAACCGUCAGCGGGGGGAGCUAGUGAACCAGCGCGCGGGGGGGAAGCUAACGAGCUGGCCUGCCAGUCAGCUCACAGAGCCCUCAGACACGCAGACCACUGCAGAGUCCAGCAACAACAGCAGAGUAAAGACCUAAAGCUGUAUGAUGGUUGUUAUUCCUGUUAAAACCUACAAUAAACCCGAGCUGUCAUCCUGCUCGUCAUUCCCCAGAGACAAAUGCGGUUCAGCAGGAGCUGAGGGCAGUGGAAAGAACAUGCCUACUGCCAGGUUUUCGUGCAUCUACCCACCAGAGUAGUGGUUGAUCAUAUCUUCAAGGCACUGGAAAGUGA